rnacentral:rRNA from 2 species
AGCAUCCGUAGCCGGUUGCAUAAGUUUUCGGUUAAAUCUAUGCGCUCAACGUAUAGGCCGCCGAAAAUACUGUGCAGCUAGGGAGUGGGAGAGGUACACGGUACUCAGUAGGAAGGGGUAAAAUCCUUUGAUCUAUUGAUGACCACCUGUGGCGAAGGCGGUCCACCAGAACACGUUCGACGGUGAGGGAUGAAAGCUGGGGGAGCAAACCGGAUUAGAUACCCGGGUAGUCCCAGCUGUAAACGAUGCAGACUCGGUGAUGCAUUGGCUUGUGGCCAGUGCAGUGCCGCAGGGAAGCCGUUAAGUUUGCCGCCUGGGAAGUACGUACGCAAGUAUGAAACUUAAAGGAAUUGGCGGGGGAGCACAAGCC